UUAAGUUCAGCGGGUAUCCCUACCUGAUCCGAGGUCAACAUUUCAGAAGUGGGUUGUUUUACGGCGUGGUCUCGUAGCGUAUCCGAUGCGAGGUGUAUUACUACGCAGGAGAUGCCGCAGCGUGACCGCCACUGUAUUUCGGGGGCGGCCUGCCGCGAGUUGCGGCGGUGGCCGGUCCCCAACACCAAGCCCGGGGGCUU
rnacentral:misc_RNA from 1 species